GACGAACCGUGCGAACGUUAUUCGGAAUCACUGGGCUUAAAGCGCGUGUAGGCGGGCCGCCGCGUCGGCUGCUGAAAUCCCCCGGCUCAACCGGGGAACGGGCACCGAUACGACCGCCCUGGAGGAACGUAGGGGGACCUGGAACUUCCGGUGGAGCGGUGAAAUGCGUUGAGAUCGGAAGGAACGCCCGUGGCGAAAGCGAGGUCCUGGACGUUUUCUGACGCUGAGACGCGAAAGCCAGGGGAGCGAACGGG
rnacentral:rRNA from 1 species